UGCUAAAUUCAUUUGGCUUACUUGAAAAAUUAUUACCUAAAAAUCUAAAUGAAAGAAUGGAGGGAGAAGGAGUAUGUUUUUGGUUAUUUUUAUUUGAUUUGGAAGGACAAGUCCUCUGCCUACGUACCUUUUUGGGAAAGGGAUCAAAACCGACGUAGUUCCACACAAAAAUUUCUUUGAUGGGUUAGGUUGAUUUUAAGAUUUUUGAAAAUGGGUUUAAGAAGAGAAAGAGGCCUCAAGGCAUGAGAUAAAAAAAAAUGAGUGAGGUUGAUUGAUUUUAAAUUUUGAAAAUGAUUGAAGUUGAAUUAAAAUUGAUUGAGAGUUUGAUUAAGAAAAUAAAGGAAAAAUGUUAUUAAGAAAAUGAUUUUGAAGUUGUGCAUAUUUGAUUUUUUGAGAAAAUGGUUUUUCUAAACUAACGGUGAAAACUAACGUAGCGUCGUAAAAAGAACGAGCGGAAAGCGGUAAAUAUAUUGUGGUAGUGUCGGUGCUUGUGUUACCUACAUUAUUACAUCAAUUCCUAAAUACAACCCUAAGGCCUUUAUGCCAAAAUAAAAUGCAAGAAAUAAAACUUACAUCAAUUUUCUAUUUAUACACACUAAGUCAAUGACAAAAUAAAAUGAUGAGAAAAUUAAAUGUACAUGCUAUGAUUCAAGACAAAAAUUAAAUCGUUAGUAACAUAAGAAAUAUCAUGGUGAAUGAGACAUAAGUAAUAAAAAACAAGGAAUUAAGACAAGCAACAAUUAAGAUCAUCAUAUAAGAAAUAAACAAAAAAGUUUAAAAGAAAACCAAUAGGAUAGAUUUUUAAAAAUUAGAGAAAAUUAAAAUGGUGAGAACAAUAUUUUUGGAAUUUUUUUCUAAACACAAAAAUGUCAAAAAGUGUAAAAAAACAGUAUUUAAAAAUAAAGACAAUUAAAAAUAAGAAAUGAAAAAAAAUAUUGGCUCAGCAGGAUUUAAUCUGGACCGUUGGAUGAAUCCAGAGGUCCAGAUCUGAAUCCCAAGAUCUCAUCACAGCCAUAGAAUCUAAGAUCCAACGGUUUUAAAAAAUAAACAGAAAAAAGGAAGGAUAUACUGGAAGCACAGUGACCGUCAGAUCAAUGAUCUGACGGUUAAACAGCAGGCACGCAGUAUUCCACACAAAAGAAACAAACACUCAACCACAUACGAGAUGCAUCAUAGGCCGUUAGAUCUACGAUCUGACGGCCUAGCUAUAAUCAUACACGGUAAUACGAUGGAACAACACACAUGGAAUUAAAAUAAAAUGAUGAGGCUAUAUAAAGUGGUUUCACCAAAAAAAAACACACAUAAAACAAAAUCCUUCUCUCUCUAAGUUAAACUUAGAGAGAGAAGCUCUCCCUUCUCCCAAAAACAAAUCGCCGGAGAAGAUGAAGAAGGGGUGGCCGGAGUUCCUCCGGUGCGGUGAUUGGCCAAGCCGCCGCCGCGCCGGAGUUUUAUUUUUACUUUUUUUUUGAAAUUUUUUACAUCAAAAGCUUCUUCUCCUUCUUCUCUAUGCAAAUCCGGUAUUAGUUUUAAAAAGGGUAGAGAGAUUUGAGCUAGAUCUACAAACGAAGAUUUGAAAUUUUUUGUACAUGAAAGAGAAAAGAGGAGAGGGAAUAUAGUUACCUUAGUUGAAAUGGAGAAAUAUGUUGUAGAAAGAGAAAAAAAGCUUUGUUUUCUUCUAGAUCCGGAAUAUUUCACUUCAUUUUCCUUCUCUUCUUCUUUGCUUGACUCGAAAUUGUUGGUGUUGGUGAUGAAGAACCACGUUUUGAUUAUGUAGAUGGAAACCGGUUCGGUUUUGGUGUUUUUGUGAUGAGUUGAGUUGAUUCUGUUGGUUUAUGGUGAUUAUGUGAUGAUUUGAGUGUGCUGGAAAUUUUGUGUUCAUAGUGUUCUUCAUGUUCAUGAGGUUCUUGAGGUGUUCAUAUCAUUUUUGUUGAUCUUUUGUGGUUUGAUCCGAAUUUGGAUGAGAGAGAAAAGUGAAUGGUGUUUGUGAAUAUUUUAUUGGUGGCUGAAAUUUCUGACUGACUCUGACGCGUGUUUUCUCACUGACGCGCGUGAACAGUCCCCUCUUCCCAAUGAUUGGACAAUGUAUUUAUAGUGACAAAAUAGGGUUGGCUCUGGUACAGAUCAAAGACCAAAAUAUCCCUGUUGGAGACUUGGGGAUAAAGACUUAACAAAUAAAAAUAAUAAGAAACAAAAAAAACAGAAAAAUAAAAAAUGACAAAUAAAAUAAAAAUAAAAUAUUAAUUAAUAAUAAUAAAAAAAAAAGUCCCUUCGAAAUCUGACAUGAGGUACUUCAAAGUAUCCUCCCUGCCGAAAUUUUGUCUGAAAUGAUUAAAAGGACGCGAUUUUUAAAAUAUGAUUAAACCUUUUAAAAUGACUUGAUUAUUAUGAUUAAAGAAGAAAA
rnacentral:lncRNA from 1 species